GAUGAACGCUGGCGGCGUGCCUAAUACAUGCAAGUCGAGCGAACAGACGAGGAGCUUGCUCCUCUGACGUUAGCGGCGGACGGGUGAGUAACACGUGGAUAACCUACCUAUAAGACUGGGAUAACUUCGGGAAACCGGAGCUAAUACCGGAUAAUAUAUUGAACCGCAUGGUUCAAUAGUGAAAGACGGUUUUGCUGUCACUUAUAGAUGGAUCCGCGCCGCAUUAGCUAGUUGGUAAGGUAACGGCUUACCAAGGCAACGAUGCGUAGCCGACCUGAGAGGGUGAUCGGCCACACUGGAACUAAGACACGGUCCAGACUCCUACGGGAGGCAGCAGUAGGGAAUCUUCCGCAAUGGGCGAAAGCCUGACGGAGCAACGCCGCGUGAGUGAUGAAGGUCUUCGGAUCGUAAAACUCUGUUAUUAGGGAAGAACAAAUGUGUAAGUAACUAUGCACGUCUUGACGGUACCUAAUCAGAAAGCCACGGCUGACUACGUG
rnacentral:rRNA from 1 species